AGUGUCCUACGGGACGCAGCAGUGGGGGAUAUUGCACAAUGGGGGGAACCCUGAUGCCGCGACGCCGCGUGGGUGAAGAAGCGCCUCGGCGCGUAAAGCCCUGUCAGCAGGGAAGAAAAUGACGGUACCUGAAGAAGAAGCCCCGGCUAACUACGUGCCAGCAGCCGCGGUAAUACGUAGGGGGCAUGCGUUAUUCGGAUUUACUUGGUGUAAAGGGGGCGCAGACGGCGAUGCAAGCCAGGAGUGAAAGCCCGGGGCCCAACCCCGGGACUGCUCUUGGCACUGCGUGG
rnacentral:rRNA from 1 species